rnacentral:rRNA from 1 species
UACGUAGGGGGCGAGCGUUGUCCGGAUUUAUUGGGCGUAAAGAGCGUGUAGGCGGUUCGGUAAGUCUGUCGUGAAAUCCUGAGGCUCAACCUCGGGCGUGCGAUGGAUACUGCCGGGCUAGAGGAUGGUAGAGGCGAGUGGAAUUCCCGGUGUAGCGGUGAAAUGCUUAGAUAUGACAUAGAACACCAAUUGCGAAGGCAGCUGGCUACAGGUUGAUUGACACUGAGGCACGAAAGCGUGGGGAUCAAACAGG